UACGGGGGGGCGAAGCGUUGUUCGGAAUUACUGGGCGUAAAGGGCUCGUAGGUGGCCAACUAAGUCGGACGUGAAAUCCCUCAGCUUAACUGGGGAACUGCGUCCGAUACUGGAUGGCUUGAGUUUGGGAGAGGGAUGCGGAAUUCCAGGUGUAGCGGUGAAAUGCGUAGAUAUCUGGAGGAACACCGGUGGCGAAGGCGGCAUCCUGGACCAACACUGACGCUGAGGAGCGAAAAGCUAGGGGAGCAAACGGGG
rnacentral:rRNA from 1 species